rnacentral:rRNA from 1 species
AAUCCCAGAGCUAACUCUGGAACUGCCAUCAAAACUUUCAGCUAGAGUUUGAUAGAGGAAAGCAGAAUUUCUAGUGUAGAGGUGAAAUUCGUAGAUAUUAGAAAGAAUACCAAUUGCGAAGGCAGCUUUCUGGAUCAUUACUGACACUGAGGAACGAAAGCAUGGGUAGCGAAGAGGAUUAGAUACCCUCGUAGUCCAUGCCGUAAACGAUGUGUGUUAGACGUUGGAAAUUUAUUUUCAGUGUCGCAGCGAAAGCGAUAAACACACCGCCUGGGGAGUACGACCGCAAGGUUAAAACUCAAAUGAAUUGACGGGGACCCGCACAAGUAGUGGAGCAUGUGGUUUAAUUCGAAGAUACGCGCAGAACCUUACCAACACUUGACAUGUUCGUCGCGACUUUAAGAGAUUAAAGUUUUCGGUUCGGCCGGACGAAACACAGGUGCUGCAUGGCUGUCGUCAGCUCGUGUCGUGAGAUGUUGGGUUAAGUCCCGCAACGAGCGCAACCCUCACUUUUAGUUGCCAUCAUUAAGUUGGGCACUCUGAAAGAACUGCCAGUGAUAAGCUGGAGGAAGGUGGGGAUGACGUCAAGUCCUCAUGGCCCUUACGUGUUGGGCUACACACGUGCUACAAUGGUAUCUACAAAAGGAAGCAAAACGGCAACGUUAAGCAAAUCCUUAAAAGAUACCUCAGUUCGGAUUGCACUCUGCAACUCGAGUGCAUGAAGCUGGAAUUACUAGUAAUCGUGGAUCAGCGUGCCACGGUGAAUGCGUUCCCGGGUCUUGUACACACCGCCCGUCACACCAUGGGAGUUGGUUCUACCUUAAGGCAAGGUUUAAAAUCCUUGACCACGGUAUAGUCAGCGACUGGGGUGAAGUCGUAACAAGGUAGCCGUAGGGGAACCUGCGGCUG